UGACCGCGUAUGAAAGUACGUUUUCACCCUCGGGUGACAGGGAGACAGGUGGUGCAUGGUUGUCGUCAGCUCGUGUCGUGAGAUGUUGGGUUAAGUCCCGCAACGAGCGCAACCCCUACGUUUAGUUGCUAACAGGUGAAGCUGAGUACUCUAGACGAACUGCCGUUGACAAAACGGAGGAAGGUGGGAUGACGUCAAAUCAUCAUGCCCCUUAUGUUCUGGGCUACACACGUGCUACAAUGGCCGGUACAGACGGAGGCGAAGCCGCGAGGCGGAGCAAAUCCGAAAAAGCCGGUCUCAGUUCGGAUUGCAGGCUGCAAUUCGCCUGCAUGAAGUCGGAAUCGCUAGUAAUCGCAGGUCAGCAUACUGCGGUGAAUACGUUCCCGGGCCUU
rnacentral:rRNA from 1 species